UGCCAUUAAUUGCCAUCAUUUAGUUGGGCACUUUAAUGGGACUGCCGGUGACAAACCGGAGGAAGGUGGGGAUGACGUCAAGUCCUCAUGCCCCUUAUGGCCAGGGCUUCACACGUAAUACAAUGGUCGGUACAGAGGGAAGCCAACCCGCGAGGGGGAGCCAAUCUCAGAAAGCCGGUCGUAGUCCGGAUUGUUGUCUGCAACUCGACAGCAUGAAGUCGGAAUCGCUAGUAAUCGCGGAUCAGCAUGUCGCGGUGAAUACGUUC
rnacentral:rRNA from 1 species